rfam:Asian citrus Psyllid, Diaphorina citri - Florida Strain, whole genome shotgun sequence.
GCCUCCGUAGCGGAGUGGAUAUCACACUAGGCUUGUACUCCUUCGGUCCUGGGUUCGAUUCCCGGCGGGGUCG